AGGUUGCCUUCCAAAACAACAUGGACACAGAUUCCAGCUCUGCAGAAGAUGGGAAUGUGUCCCACUCCAAUCCCAAGGUUGCCUCAGGUUGUUGGUCAUGAAAGUAACAUCAGUUCCUAGGAAGAGAAAGUGGAGUGAGGUGGAGAUUGCGGCUGUAGAAGAGAAAAUGAUGAAAUUUAUUCACUCGGGAGUUACUCCUGGAAAAGUCGACUGCAUGGCAUGCAUUACAGCAGCCCCCAAAGCCCUCGGUGAACGAG